rnacentral:rRNA from 1 species
GAAUUUUGGACAAUGGGCGAAAGCCUGAUCCAGCAACGCCGCGUGCAGGAUGAAGGCCUUCGGGUUGUAAACCGCUCUUGUACGGAACGAAAAGCUCUGGGUCAAUAUCCGGGAGUCAGGCCGGCUCCGUCAGAAUAAGCACCGGCUAACCUCGUGCCCGCAGCCGCGGUAAUACGUAGGGGGCAAGCGUUAAUAGGAAUUACUGGGCGUAAGGCGUGCGCAGGCGGUUUUGUAGGACAGAGGUGAGAGCCCCGGGCUCAACCUGGGAACUGCCUUUGUGACUGCAAGGCUAGAGUACGGCAGAGGGGGGUGGAAUUCCGCGUGUAGCAGUGAAAGGCGUAGAUAUGCGGAGGAACACCGAUGGCGAAGGCAACCCCCGGGGCCUGUACUGACGCCCAUGCACGAAAGCGUGGGGAGCAAACA